UGCAUGUCUCAGUAUAAACCUUUACACGGUGAAACUGCGAAUGGCUCAUUAAAACAGUUAUAGUUUAUUUGAUGGUCACUCGUUAUAUGGAUAACUGUGGUAAUUCUAGAGCUAAUACAUGCACAAAAAUCCGACUUCUCGGAAGGGUUGUAUUUAUUAGAUACAGAACCAAUCGGGCUUGCCCGUUGUUGGAUGAUUCAUAGUAAAUGAACGGAGCGUAUGCCUUGUGGCGACGCUGCGUCAUUCAAGUUUCUGACCUAUCAGCUAUCGACGGUAGGGUAUUGGCCUACCGUGGCAUUGACGGGUAACGGAGAAUUAGGGUUCGAUUCCGGAGAGGGGGCCCGAGAAACGGCUACCACAUCUAAGGAAGGCAGCAGGCGCGCAAAUUACCCAAUCCUGACACAGGGAGGUAGUGACAAGAAAUAACAAAGCAAGUCAGAAUUCUGAUUUUGCUAUUGGAAUGAGUAGAAUUUAAAUCCCUUUACGACUAUCAAUUGGAGGGCAAGUCUGGUGCCAGCAGCCGCGGUAAUUCCAGCUCCAAUAGCGUAUAUUAAAGUUGUUGCGGUUAAAAGCUCGUAGUUGGAUUUCUGUCGAGGAUGACCGGUCCGCACUUUGUGCGUGCAUCUGGUUCAGCCUUGGCAUCCUCCUGGGGAACGUAUCUGCGCUUAAUUGCGUGGUGCGGUAUUCAGGACUUUUACUUUGAGGAAAUUAGAGUGUUCACGGCAGGCAAUCGCCUUGAAUACAUUAGCAUGGAAUAAUAAUAUAGGGCCUUGGUCCCAUUUUGUUGGUUUCUGGAACUAAGGUAAUGAUUAAUAGGGAUAAUUGGGGGCAUUCGUAUUAACGUGUCAGAGGUGGGAUUCUUGGAUUACGUUACGACGAACUACUGCGAAAGCAUUU
rnacentral:rRNA from 1 species